GAUGAACGCUGGCGGCGUGCCUAAUACAUGCAAGUCGAGCGAACAGACGAGGAGCUUGCUCCUCUGACGUUAGCGGCGGACGGGUGAGUAACACGUGGAUAACCUACCUAUAAGACUGGGAUAACUUCGGGAAACCGGAGCUAAUACCGGAUAAUAUAUUGAACCGCAUGGUUCAAUAGUGAAAGACGGUUUUGCUGUUACUUAUAGAUGGAUCCGCGCCGCAUUAGCUAGUUGGUAAGGUAACGGCUUACCAAGGCAACGAUGCGUAGCCGACCUGAGAGGGUGGUCGGCCACCCUGGAACUGAGACACGGUCCAGACUCCUACGGGAGGCAGCAGUAGGGAAUCUUCCGCAGUGGGCGAAAGCCUGACAGAGCAACGCCGCGUGAGUGAUAGAGGUCUUCGGAUCGUAAAACUCUGUUAUUAGGGAAGAACAAAUGUGUAAGUAACUAUGCACGUCUUGACGGUACCUAAUCAGAAAGCCACGGCUAACUACGUG
rnacentral:rRNA from 1 species